CAGCCGCCGCGGUAAUACGUAGGUGGCAAGCGUUGUCCGGAAUUAUUGGGCGUAAAGGGCUCGCAGGCGGUUUCUUAAGUCUGACGUGAAAGCCCCCGGCUCAACCGGGGAGGGUCAUUGGAAACUGGGAAACUUGAGUGCAGAAGAGGAGAGUGGAAUUCCACGUGUAGCGGUGAAAUGCGUAGAGAUGUGGAGGAACACCAGUGGCGGAGGCGACUCUCUGGUCUGUAACUGACGCUGAGGAGCGAAAGCGUGGGGAGCGAACAGGAUUAGAUACCCCUGUAGUCCCUGUCUCUUAUAC
rnacentral:rRNA from 1 species